UGCAAGAUGAUGGUGGGUCAUUUGUUCCUCUCAUUCCUGUAUUGCGGAUAAAUUUUGUUACAGUUGCAUUUUGAAUUGGACUAAAGUAGUUGCUGGCAAGCAUUCUCACGCACCUUCUUCUGUAAAAUGUCCUUUAUGCAAGGUUUGCUUUAUUCCACUUAUGUUUCACUUUAGCUUCACAUAACAAUGCAGGCCUUUUGCUUUGCCUUAUUGAUUACAGGAAUGAUGUCUCUGUGUAAAAUUUGUUGUUAAUGGCGGUAUUGUUCGACUAUUCUGUAGAUAGAAAACUGUUCAAUAAUUUAUGGAUACGAUGGAAGUUCAUUCCAAAGGCAAUAUAUAAAUGAUAGUUUUGAGCUUAGUUCUUUCUUUUCAAAAGCUCACAAGUAUAGAUUAAAAUGCUAUUAUGCUGAACCAGGUAUCUUGAGCAAUAUAGUUAACGUAUUGCGAUAUUGGAAGUCCCGUAAGUAUCUUCAACCAAAUCGGUGGCUGCAAAGUUGAUUGAGAAGAGAAAUUCAGGCUCUUUUGCAGGUCCAUCUGUUAAUUGAGAUUUUUCUAUGCUUUGACCUUUACUUAUUACAAAAUACAAACUUGGACAUCCCACUGAAAUUUGGUGCUCUAACA